rnacentral:rRNA from 1 species
CGCCUCUUGCAAAUAAAGAAUAAGAGGUCCCGCCUGCCCUGUGACUAUAAGUUUAACGGCCGCGGUAUUUUGACCGUGCGAAGGUAGCGCAAUCACUUGUCUUUUAAAUGAAGACCUGUAUGAAUGGCAUAACGAGGGCUUAGCUGUCUCCUUUUUCAAGUCAAUGAAAUUGAUCCCCCCGUGCAGAAGCGGGGAUAAAGCCAUAAGACGAGAAGACCCUGUGGAGCUUUAGACACCAAGGUAAAUCAUGUUAAUCAUCCCAAAACAAAGGGCCAAACCAAAUGAAAAUUACCCCCAUGUCUUUGGUUGGGGCGACCGCGGGGAAACACAAAACCCCCAUGUGGAAUGGGACUACUCCCUCCUACAACCCAGAGCCUCCGCUCUAAUGAACAGAAUUUCUGACCAGCAAGAUCCGGCAACGCCGAUCAACGAACCGAGUUACCCCAGGGAUAACAGCGCAAUCCCCUUUUAGAGUCCAUAUCGACAAGGGGGUUUACGACCUCGAUGUUGGAUCAGGACAUCCUAAUGGUGCAGCCGCUAUUAAGGGUUCGUUUGUUCAACGAUUAAAGUCCU